UACGUAGGGUGCGAGCGUUGUCCGGAAUUAUUGGGCGUAAAGAGCUCGUAGGCGGUCUGUCGCGUCGAUCGUGAAAACUUGGGGCUUAACCCUGAGCUUGCGGUCGAUACGGGCAUGACUGGAGUUCGGUAGGGGAGUCUGGAAUUCCUGGUGUAGCGGUGAAAUGCGCAGAUAUCAGGAGGAACACCGGUGGCGAAGGCGGGACUCUGGGCCGAUACUGACGCUGAGGAGCGAAAGCGUGGGGAGCGAACAGG
rnacentral:rRNA from 1 species